rnacentral:rRNA from 1 species
UCGGAGCUAACGCGUUAAGUAGACCGCCUGGGGAGUACGGUCGCAAGAUUAAAACUCAAAUGAAUUGACGGGGGCCCGCACAAGCGGUGGAGCAUGUGGUUUAAUUCGAUGCAACGCGAAGAACCUUACCUACUCUUGACAUCCAGAGAAGCCAGCGGAGACGCAGGUGUGCCUUCGGGAGCUCUGAGACAGGUGCUGCAUGGCUGUCGUCAGCUCGUGUUGUGAAAUGUUGGGUUAAGUCCCGCAACGAGCGCAACCCUUAUCCUUGUUUGCCAGCGAGUAAUGUCGGGAACUCCAGGGAGACUGCCGGUGAUAAACCGGAGGAAGGUGGGGACGACGUCAAGUCAUCAUGGCCCUUACGAGUAGGGCUACACACGUGCUACAAUGGCGCAUACAGAGGGCAGCAAGCUAGCGAUAGUGAGCGAAUCCCAAAAAGUGCGUCGUAGUCCGGAUUGGAGUCUGCAACUCGACUCCAUGAAGUCGGAAUCGCUAGUAAUCGUGAAUCAGAAUGUCACGGUGAAUACGUUCCCGGGCCUUGUACACACCGCCCGUCACACCAUGGGAGUGGGCUGCAAAAGAAGUGGGUAG